UAUGGUAAUUGUGUGCAGCCGCGGUAAAACGUAGGUCACAAGCGUUGUCCGGAAUUACUGGGUGUAAAGGGAGCGCAGGCGGGAAGACAAGUUGGAAGUGAAAUCUAUGGGCUCAACCCAUAAACUGCUUUCAAAACUGUUUUUCUUGAGUAGUGCAGAGGUAGGCGGAAUUCCCGGUGUAGCGGUGGAAUGCGUAGAUAUCGGGAGGAACACCAGUGGCGAAGGCGGCCUACUGGGCACCAACUGACGCUGAGGCUCGAAAGUGUGGGUAGCAAACAGG
rnacentral:rRNA from 1 species